GGGAUUCUAGUUCAAUCGGUCAGAGCACCGCCCUGUCAAGGCUAGAGCUGCGGGUUCGAGCCCCGUCAGUCCCG
rfam:Genlisea aurea contig_12, whole genome shotgun sequence.